GGGCCGUUAGCUCAGCUGGCAGAGCAGCGGACUUUUAAUCCGUUGGUCACUGGUUCGAAUCCAGUACGGCCUA
rnacentral:tRNA from 1 species